rnacentral:rRNA from 1 species
GAUGAACGCUGGCGGCGUGCCUAAUACAUGCAAGUCGAGCGAACGGACGAGAAGCUUGCUUCUCUGAUGUUAGCGGCGGACGGGUGAGUAACACGUGGAUAACCUACCUAUAAGACUGGGAUAACUUCGGGAAACCGGAGCUAAUACCGGAUAAUAUUUUGAACCGCAUGGUUCAAAAGUGAAAGACGGUCUUGCUGUCACUUAUAGAUGGAUCCGCGCUGCAUUAGCUAGUUGGUAAGGUAACGGCUUACCAAGGCAACGAUGCAUAGCCGACCUGAGAGGGUGAUCGGCCACACUGGAACUGAGACACGGUCCAGACUCCUACGGGAGGCAGCAGUAGGGAAUCUUCCGCAAUGGGCGAAAGCCUGACGGAGCAACGCCGCGUGAGUGAUGAAGGUCUUCGGAUCGUAAAACUCUGUUAUUAGGGAAGAACAUAUGUGUAAGUAACUGUGCACAUCUUGACGGUACCUAAUCAGAAAGCCACGGCUAACCACGUGCCAGCAGCCGCGGUAAUACGUAGGUGGCAAGCGUUAUCCGGAAUUAUUGGGCGUAAAGCGCGCGUAGGCGGUUUUUUAAGUCUGAUGUGAAAGCCCACGGCUCAACCGUGGAGGGUCAUUGGAAACUGGAAAACUUGAGUGCAGAAGAGGAAAGUGGAAUUCCAUGUGUAGCGGUGAAAUGCGCAGAGAUAUGGAGGAACACCAGUGGCGAAGGCGACUUUCUGGUCUGUAACUGACGCUGAUGUGCGAAAGCGUGGGGAUCAAACAGGAUUAGAUACCCUGGUAGUCCACGCCGUAAACGAUGAGUGCCAAGUGUUAGGGGGUUUCCGCCCCUUAGUGCUGCAGCUAACGCAUUAAGCACUCCGCCUGGGGAGUACGACCGCAAGGUUGAAACUCAAAGGAAUUGACGGGGACCCGCACAAGCGGUGGAGCAUGUGGUUUAAUUCGAAGCAACGCGAAGAACCUUACCAAAUCUUGACAUCCUUUGACAACUCUAGAGAUAGAGCUUUCCCCUUCGGGGGACAAAGUGACAGGUGGUGCAUGGUUGUCGUCAGCUCGUGUCGUGAGAUGUUGGGUUAAGUCCCGCAACGAGCGCAACCCUUAAGCUUAGUUGCCAUCAUUAAGUUGGGCACUCUAAGUUGACUGCCGGUGACAAACCGGAGGAAGGUGGGGAUGACGUCAAAUCAUCAUGCCCCUUAUGAUUUGGGCUACACACGUGCUACAAUGGACAAUACAAAGGGCAGCGAAACCGCGAGGUCAAGCAAAUCCCAUAAAGUUGUUCUCAGUUCGGAUUGUAGUCUGCAACUCGACUACAUGAAGCUGGAAUCGCUAGUAAUCGUAGAUCAGCAUGCUACGGUGAAUACGUUCCCGGGUCU